AUCCACCAACUUAGUGUUGAUGAAGACUAAACAGAGAGAUCACAGCUUCUUUAUACUUGCUGUAGCUCACAGUUACUCUACACUGCAGAUAUGACGCCUCUGUUCAUCUCAGUGCUGCUGGCUGCUAUGUGCCUCGAAUGCAGAGCACAAAAAGACAACGUGCUGCAAGCAAAAGGAGAAGAGACUGCUGCUGCAGGAGGCACAGUGACACUUCACUGUCUCUAUAACAGCAGUACAACAACUAAUUAUCUCUUCUGGUACAAACAGGAUGGAAACAACAGCCCCAAAUUCAUCCUGAGUCGCUUUAAAGUUGGUGAGGGGAAAAACGAGGCUGGAGACAGAUUUUCAUCCACACUGGAUUCCAGCAUCAGAUCAGUUCCUCUGAAGAUCCAGAAGCUUCAGCUGUCUGACUCUGCUGUGUACUACUGUGCUCUGCAGCCCACAGUGACAGGAAAC